UCAUAGGACCUCUCAAGUGCUGAUGUGAUCUCUGCAAUAAGAGAAUUGUGUUUCUAUCAUCAUCAUCAUCAUCAGCAGCAGCAGCAGCAGCAGCAGCAGCAGCAGCAAGUGGAUAUCCAGACACCCUACUUCCACUCGUCCAGUCGCACACUUCUUUAGUCACUGGCUGAGGAAAGCCCAUAUCCCUCCUCCCAUCCUGACCACCUUCUACAGAGGGACCAUUGAGAGCAUCCUGAGAAGCUGCAUCACUGCCUGGUUUGGUAACUGCACCGUCUCUGAUCGCAAGACCCUUCAGCGUAUAGUGAGGACAGCUGAGAAGAUGAUCUCUCCCCUCUAUCAUGGAAAUUUACUCCACAUGCUGCAUCCGCAAAGCAGACAGCAUUGUAGAUGACUCCACACACCCCUCACACACACUCUUUACCACACACCCCUCACACCCCACACACACACACACACACUUACACACCCCACACACCCCUCACACACACUCUUCACCCUCCUGCCAUCUGGAAAGAGGUACCGGAGCAUUCAGGCCAAUCUAUCUAUCUCAUCAUCUAUCACUAUCACUCACUCACUCAAUUGUGUGAGACUCAACACAUGCAUCUUUAACUCCACCCCCAUUAUACCUGUUUACUUGCUUGUAUUUGCACAUUAUUCAAUUGCUUCUGUUGCUAUUUUUGUCGUUUUCACUGUCACCAACUGCUGCUAUAUAUAUAUAUAUAUAUGUUUACAUAUAUGUUUUAACAUAUAUAUGUUAAAAAGAAACCACUGGUUUACAGUUAUUCAAAUUUGCACAUUUUCCAGCACUAUGUGUCCUGUACUGUACUGUACACAUGUUGCGCUUUAUGUAGCUAGGAUAACUUUCUGUCCUUAGCUCUGUGUUGUCGUUUUUUGUUUUGUAGCUAUAUGUUAUGUUUUUUUAUGUAGCACCAGGUUCCUGUUGAAACGUUUUCUCAUUUACUGUGUCAGCUAUAUAUGGAUGAAAUGACAAGACAAGCUUAACACAAACACACACACACACACACACACCCUAAUUUAUCAUAUCUCCUGCUUAUUGCAAAACAACACACACAUUAGAGUAUUCUCCAGACACUUACCAGUCAUUUCUCCCGGCUCCGCCCUCCUUACCUUAUCACCUUUAGGUAAUGCUGACUGACAAGCCCAGUCUGAUGUAGUCCUUCACAACCAUGGCAAGGAUGGUUUCAGCACUCAGGAGAUCAAUAGUAAAAGUGAAUUGAAUUGAAUUAGGCACAUCUAAUAAUAAGAAGAAUUUUUUUAAAAUCUGUGUAUUGAGAUUUAACUGCUGACAUUAUACACAAAUGUUUAGGACAUCUAUAUAAUCUUAUAAUCUUAAUUUAUAUAUAAUCUUAUGGACUUUACUACAGAAGUGUAAGAUGAGUUUGGUUAAAAAAGUGUUAAACAUUCAGUUCUUUCUCACUAAGGUGAAAACCGCAGCUGGAUUUCCUGUCAGUUUUUUUCCCUCUUAGACAAAGAAAACGUCACCUAAACACACAAACCACACUCUUUCACUCCUCUCACCAGCUAUAUAAACUGAACAAGGUGAUAUCUGCAUUAAUAUCUUUCUGUUCCUGACCAUCAUCUUUAUCAUCAUCAUCAUCAUCCUCCUUGUCAGCAGCAGUCAUGUUCUAUUGUUCUCUCCUGCUGGUUCUCGCCUGCCUUCAGUCCUUCACAAUGGCCCAGAUGGUUUGGUCCACUACCUGCUAUCACCGAUCCCACACACGUUAGUCCAGUAUGAGUGUCUGUGGUUCAGCUGUGUCUCACUGAAGAAAGAUGGCGACACUGAAGGAAAUUCUAUCAUCUUCUUAAACUUCAUUCCUUUUUUCUCUUUGUCUUUAAUUUCGAAAAUGACGUUUUCUAUCUAUAUUUAUAUUUCUGUAACAGUCAGUCUAAAUA